UCCUUAAACCAUUCAGAGGCCGCCUCUCAGACCCAGCCCUCGGACCUCAGCCAAUCACCGGACGCCAUGCAAAUCACCUCUUUCGCCCUCCAAACCGAGGUCCAGUUUAAAGGCAGUUUCUGCCGCCCCGCCCAUCUUAGUCCUUCCCUUCCCCCUUCCUCCUCCGCCUCCCACACAGCAGCUGCUUGGGAAGAGGGCAGUGCUGGGUGCUUCAUGCAUAUGCAGACAGAUCUAUCCUCCCCCUCCACCCCAUCCUCUCUCCCUCUCCUCCCGCCCAUCUUUGCCUCGCUCCCCAGCCCCCACCCUGCCGCCCACUAGUAUCUCCAAGUCUCCUCGACGUAUAGUUCCCAGCUCUGGUACAUGCAGCUGCUACCCACAAGUAUGCCCAGGCGCUCCAUAGGAGCCAGAGAGGGAGAGGGAGGAAACCUCUGCUUUUGAAAUCCGCUCGAAGGUCAAGUUUGUGGUUUACGGAGCGGGAGCCCGAGACACUGAAAAUGCUGUUGAGUCUGCAAGAAGACGGUGCAUGCAGGAAGAUGGUUUUGCCUUGGUUUUCUUCCACUAAACAGCAGAUUAAUUUCUCUGAAACACACAAAGUACCGGUCAUGUUUAAAGGCAGGGUGAUGAUAGAUGGUUCCGCGUGCGCACAGUUACAGAGCAUAUUUGUCUUGCACAUCAAGGUUCCUUAAGCCACAAAGCACUGGAGAGGAGAUCAAAGGGUGUUAUAUCUUCUUAGGAGCAGGAAGGUUGGGAAGUGCGGCUAGCAGUACGACCAGUGGCGCUGGACCUGCUUGAGGUGGGAAGUUAAAUGGUAGGUACGGAAACAUGACCUGGGACCUACGGAAAGGAAAAAUAAUUCUGUGAGAAGGCGAAUUUGCUAGUAUUAUGCAUACGCAGACUGUGACCAAGGCUCUUCCAAGCCGCCCUAAACAUUUUCAAGUUUUGAAUAACGCACUGAACUGACCUGGAUUCCUUUAAAAGUUGGGGAAAAUACCGUCGCGAAAACCGCGCUUUUAGAGUGCUUGGAGAUCCUCUUAGGAGGAACCGGAACUGUGGCGUGACCUUGUUUUAUAGAUCUACUUCUGCCCUGAAAUACCUUCAGGACUUUCUAGAGGAAAUUGCAGCAGGUUCCCCUUAAAUCUUACUCGGUGGACAAGUGAGGGCUUAGCAAAUUUAAACACGCACUUUGCUAAGAUUAUUUACCGAACACUUUUUUUUUUUUUUUUUUUUUUGAAUCGAGGGCGUUUUGUGUGCCGAGAACAGAGCAAUAUCUUCCAGGCAAAGCGCUUCACGUGGCUGGCAGUUCCCAGGUGCCACGGAAAUUAGGAAAAGAAACAGCAAGCAGCUCAGAACGGUUUCUGCCCUUGAGCUGCUCCUGCUCUAGCUGGAGGGAAAUAUGUAGGUGGUGCUUCCCAGCCCAACAGGAAACAGUUCAGAGAGCUCUUAGACUGCAGUGAACCGGCGGCGAGUUGGUACAUUCCUAUAGUGAAACAGGGCAGCAAUUAAGAGUGAAUGGACGAUCUUGAAGGCAGUGUUGGAUGAAAAAGCAAAUCACAAGAGAAUGUGAUAUUAAUGCAAUGUUAAUGUCUAUUAACAUAACACUGUAACAGACUACAAAAACACAGAAGUUGCAUGAUAGGAGGCAUAAAAUCGUGUCAGGGAAUGGGUGUGGAAACUGGAGGAAGGAGAGGACAUGUUUUAGUCAUAAAGAUUCGAGCUCUGAGUAAUGCUUAUUCCUUUUAAAGAGCUAGAAUAUGAGGAAACAUACUCAUGGGAAGGCUUUAUGGAAAAGCUGGCGCUGAUGCUAAAUUUAAAAU
rnacentral:lncRNA from 1 species